CUUGAUGGGAAGCUGUAUUAUACAAAGCAUAAUAACUCUCUGGGUGGGAGAGUUAGAAGGUUAAUGUUGAGAAAUAAAGGUGAUAUAAAAACAAAAUAUGUUAAGAAAUUAGUUUUAAAUUAACUUUAAAAAAACAGAAUUACAUGUUAUAUAGCAUAAGGGCAGCAGCUGAACUAGAUAGUCUCUCUAGAUCCCCCCAGUCUGAGGAUUCUUAGUUAGAAUUUUUUUUUUGUUUCUGUUUUUUUUUAAACUAUCUCUCUCUAUUGCUUUGAAAUUGAAUAAAGGGUCAUGGUUCACUUCCCACAGUGCUGCCUUCCUCCCACAGGACUAGAGUUGCCACUUUAGUUCAUUCGAUUCCAGGAAACUUUGUGGUGCGAAGGAUGAAGUGGGUGUUGAGAUUGAAGUGGGACUGAAAUAGAGGUGUUAACAGGCAGAAUCCAGGCAAGGAAUGGUGAGCCUCUGGGCAAGUUUGAAAAUUGUGACCCUGCUUCCAACUCUCCUCUGGGUCCUUUUUUCCUUCAUCCCAACAAGGGUGCCCUGACAUCACAAAACAAACCCCUUCUGGAAAGCGGGAGGCUGCUGCUUGGAGGCUGGGAGAGAGCAACCCAGAGUUCAACAUGGUGUAGGGUUCAAAAGAGAUGAUGUAGGUUCAAAUUCUGCCUCUGACCCAUUCUGGAUGACUGUGUGACCCUUGGUGAUUCCAAGGCAAUUUCAACAGACUUGUGAUGGAGAGAGCACCAUCUGCACCCAGUUAUAGAAGACUAUGGGGACUGAA